rnacentral:lncRNA from 1 species
AACUCAUGUCUUCCUAACGUUCUAUAUAUUAUGUUACUUAAAAUGAGAAAGGAACAAAGGCAAUUCUGACAUUACUGGGUGCUACAGCUUGGAGUCUGCAUUGCUUUUUCUGAUCUAGUCCUCAUUAUUAUCCGGAUAGCUAAAAAGGACUGGACACUAGGGGCUAUGCUCCAUGUUCUUCUCUUCAGGUGUCAUGCUUCUGCUUCUGAUGACCUCCCCUCUGAAGCCAAAUGGCUACUUCUUUUCUUGUAUCUUUGUAGUUCCAUGGCCAAAAUAUCCCUUGCUGACUCUCUCCUUGCUGAAGUCUCUGUAAGACUAAGAGAUAGAUAGAUGGAUAAGUAGGUUCCUCUUGAGGGAUCCAUGUCCACUCUCUUGUGUAAUCUCUUCCUUCUUUUCCUAAGAAGCUAAUUCUUGACUUCUCUACUACUCAAAAAACCCCUCUUCUUUUAUGGACAUGCUGCACAACUUAAAGAGAAAUAAAAUGUAGCUUCCCAAAGGACCAAGGGUCCCUCUUAGACCUCCAUCAAAAUCUUUUGUCAGGAAAGGAUGACAUUUUUCAGGACAAAUAACUCAUGAGAUGUUGUAUUGUACAUCUGCGAUGCCUCCAAAAACUAGUCAGAGAACACAAGAAGCUAGACAUGCAUUCAUAAGCAUUUAAAGGAACAAGGCUCUGAUUAUAAGCUACAGUGACUCCAAAGCCAGGAGCAUAGGAUGGUCCCCCUUCAGCUUUUAGUGGGGAGGUUGGUGGUUGCAGGGAGUAGGAGGAAAGAGGGAACAGGAAGAGAACAAUUUGAAAGCAAUCGAGAAUGAGGAGUUAUCUCCACAGACUAAGCUCCAAGUACAGAGGAGAGUGAGCAAAUGGGAUUCCGACCCACCUUAGCACCAUCACAAUGCAACUCACUAGUAUCCCCCUGUUCAGUGAAUCAGCCCCUGAUUUAUUCAUAUAUGAUCAGUUCAUCUCCUAAGUACUUCAACUCCAGUCUGCCACAACUACUCCUUUCAUUCAAGAUAAGUAAAAGGAAGACAAGUUCUGCCCUCAAGAAGAUUACAAUCUAAUGGGAGAAAGCAGUAUACAAAAGGAAAGAGGAGAGGCAACCCCAGAGGAUUUUGGAUGGACUGGGAAGAGAGGCAUGAUUGGGAUGGAGUCAUAAUCAAACAGAACAGCUGGUGGGAAAUGAGUUGUUUCAAACUUAUUCUGAGCCCUCUAUAAAGAGGGGUUUUGGGAGGAGGUUUUGCUCUGCUCUCCAAUCAGAGGUACAUGGCAACAGAGUACUGAUGAAGAGUGUGUAUCAAAACUAAAACAAUCUCCAUGAUGAUGAGUUUCCUGAUGAUGAGCUUCUCCUCAAGGAAGCAUGAUGUUGGUGAAGUUGAAAUCAAGCUGAGCAGCUGGUGAGAGAUGAUAGUAGCAGAUAAUGUGCAUACAUACACAGAUAAAAUCUAAUAAAAAUCAGAAUACGCUCA